GUGUGGUUUAUAGAUCUAUAGGUCUUAGGUAGUAAAAAAAUGAAUUAAAAAAAUAAAUAAAAGACAGGUUGUUAUUUGUUCAAUGCUAACUUUAGAAGCUGCGUGUAGAGAGAAAAUGACAGAAGUGUUAAGAGGCCUAAUAAAGGCUGAGCUGAUGAUUGUAGUUUGACUUCUGCUCUUUCUGUUCUAUAGUUUUAACCACAGCGGGGAAGAUAGUUAUUCUUAUUCUGCAUCUUUAAUUUCAUAAACCUCAAAAUAUUACCACAAGAGCAAAAGAUUCCCAGCAAUUUUAUUUACUUCCCCUUCUUAGAAACCCUGUCUAAUAUCAGAGUAUCUGUUUUCUUAUAUUUUAUUUGACAGUAAAGCAGCAAUAAUACCAGCCGGUGAAGCAACAUUUCUAGUGAGAGGUUUCUGCCAGAAUUUAAUAACAGAUACACUGGAUUACUUGUUCAUUAUCUCAAUCAUUGUGCAAAAGUAAAAUAGUUGUCAUUAACCGGGCUGCUGCUAUUGUUGACAUGAGGAUAACUCAAAUAAGAGCAGGACUUACGUGAACAGGCCUACAUUAUUCACCUCAUGGUUUUACUUUAUUCACUGGUCUGUCUGUAAUGUGUGCAGCUCUGGCUGUGAACAACAAAAUAAUGCAGUGUGAGAACAAUUUUCAAGAAGAAAAACAGCUUUAACAACUUGCAUGCACUGAAAGAGCAGCAAAAUAUCUUAGAAUGGAUCUCUUUUUCUUCCUGUUUUGUGUUUCUGUGUAGAGUUGUGUCUCCUCCCUCAUCUCUUCUUGAACUCUGAAACACAGGAAGUGUCUGAUUUAGCGACGCAUCACUGUUAAAACAGUCUGUUAAUGUGUCAGUAUGGGGUCCAGUGCACUGCCUCUCAUGCUCUGUGAGUAUUUCAUUAUAUUCUACUCUAUCUUCAGUUUUUCUGUUAUUAACAGUAUUCAGCUGAAGAUAAAUUAAUGUUUGUGUGUAGGAGGCUCUGUGUAUUCUUUAUUGUUCAGAUUAAUGUGAUGAUAUGUUACGUGUGGAUCAGAUACAGAGUUUCAGAGAACAUGCAUUUAUCUGUGCUGCUUGUGAAAGAUGGAGGCUCUGUGGACAUGUGCUUUUGCUGUUUAUGAUGUGAUACUCUUUCUUCUUAUUUUCAGCAGUUCAGUUCAAUCAGAUGUAUUUGUGUUAAUAUGAGUUUGGUGUUGUAUGGUAUUGUAUUUUUAAAUAGUUUCUCACACAAGUUUCUCAAUCACUUUCAUUCUUUCUGUUCCUCUUAUUGAAAAUAGAUUCCAAAAAUCACACUUAAAAAUGACUGAAUUUCACUGCAUUAAACACAAUAUAUCAAACAAGUGACAGCUGCCAAAAAAGAAGAAAAAAAAUAUGUUCAUGCUUUUCUCAGAAUUAACGUCAUUUUUUCCUAAUUAUUUUUAGCCAGUUUGUCUCAGUGUAAUUUUUAGCUUAUGUGUGAAGUCAGUUCUCACAUUCUCAGCAGAAAAACCACAGCUGUAGUUCAGUACGUUAACAUAUGAACAUGUUGUGUUCCACAUGUUUUCAAUAUAUAUAUAUAUAUAUAUAUAUAUAUAUAUAAAAUCAAAAAUAGUUUCUAAUAUUAUUUUUUACAUGAGAAUUUUUGUUUUGUAGAUUACAAAUAGAAUUUAAAUAAUUGUCUUACUUCAACUAAAAAAUAAAAAAUAAAGAAGCAAAUAAAUAAGAAUCA
ensembl:lncRNA